UCCAGGUGGCCAAGCACAAUGACAGAAUAGGAGUUCCACAGCUGUUUCCAUGGAGAAGCAUCAAACACUGACAAUUCCAACAUAUGGAGUCUGGAUGUCGAGCAGAGAAGUUACAUCUUAUUAAUUAAUAGAAAAAAUAGAUGUGAAGGCAGUCUAAGGAAAUCAGUUUUAUUUUAACCAUCCCUCUUCUCCACCAAGGUGGCACAGCUUAGUGCCAAGAGAGACCAUUUCUCAAACAGAUGAAUUUAACUGUUAUAGAUCUCAUUAGAAGCCAGGAAAAAAAUCUAACCUGAAGAAUAAUAGCAUCUUCUUGAAAAGAAAUCAAACGAACAGGUAUUAGCACAAGACAGCUCAAGAUCAAGUUCUCUGCACAAAGCAGAUUAAUUUUUCCCAAGGAACAAAGGGCAGGGGACAAGAGACAGAGAUAGAGGAUGAGGGAGAAGGGGAAAGGAACAAGGGAGAGGGGAAGAGAUAUUUACCCUGGAGGACAAAGGGCAGAGUAUGGUUAGAGAGGUGACCACAGUGGCCCUUCGGCAAAUGGCAGUUAAUAAAUGAGAAGGGGAAAGUCCGUGUUAGGGCGAAUUGGUUCGUUUUGAUUGGGCAUAUUAAUUAGGUGAGGCAGCGAUAACCUUUGGUUGAUGAACUUCAGCACUUUGAUGGCUGGACUUUGGUAGUCAGCCUCAAGAAGAGGAAGUGGUCAAAUAAGAAGACAAACCCUGAUAGCUAGCUAUAAGAGUGCAGUCUAACGGUUUUUUAGUGAGAGAGAGGGAAUGGGGGAAAAGCAAGACUUGUUCUAGCCAACUUUGUCAUGCUCAGGCCAGCUAGGGUCCUUUCACAUUUAAAGGAUGGAUAGAAUUCAGGUGUAGCAAAGAAAGAAGAUUGAAAGUUUACUGGCUUACAAAAGAAGUCUUGGCGAGGAUUCCGCAAAAACAAAUACCAACGAAAAGAUGUCACAGAAGCUGUCCAAGUUUUGAAUCGAGGUCAGCUGGAGGACACGGAAGAAGGAAAAGGUCACAGGAGGAAAAUGGGAUUAAUCCUGUGGCUAGAGAGGAAAGCUGAGACUGAGGGGAGGGCAGAAGCAUGUGAGGAGGUUUGGAAACAGCUCGGGCUGUUUUCCAGGUAAGGGCUCUGAGGCCCUGCAGUAAUUGAAUAAAACCUUGGCCAGGAGGGGGCAGCAGACACACAUCGAUUGCUGGAAACAGCAGGGGCUCUGAUAGGGAGGUGGGUUGAAUCUAUGGGUGUUCAAAGAAUUGUAGCCAACCAAGGAGACAUGAAUGAUGGGGCCUUGGUAAUGCGAUCACCUCGACUGCACAGCUGUAUAGAAGUCAAUGACAGCAAGGUUUCUAGAAAGAUUGAGACAAGGGUGUGACCAGGGAUUUUGGAGAAACGAUGCAGAGGAACAGUGUGUGAGGUUACGUGGGCAGUGGGCAUGGAAACGGACGAAGUGGGGAUAGAACAUUUGAAGUAUGACAAUGGAAAGAAGCUGAUGGUAGGACGGUCGUUUACAAGGAAGGUACAGGAGAUAGAUUUAUUUUAACCUUAAUAUUCUAUUAAACGAGUUCAGUGGAAUAAUCCCACGAGGAGAAUACAGGAAGGCGACAGAGACGGAAGGGUGCUUCUGAGAGGAGUCGGGAUAUGAACAAGCAUGCUCAUGGAAGGUGCAGUGGAUUGAACCUGGGCCUCACGCAUGUAUGCAAAUGCAAAAAAAAAGCCUGCUGAUUCUGAGAGAGGGUCUUGCUAAGAUUCCUGGGCUAGCUUUGAACUGUGGCCCUUCUGCCUCAGCCUUCCAAGUAGCAAGAAUUACAGGUUUGGGUCAUUAGCCAUAACCCUUUUACCACUUAAAUAUUAUUAAUUACAUAAAAUAGUUUUU